UACGUAGGUGGCAAGCGUUGUCCGGAUUUAUUGGGUUUAAAGGGUGCGUAGGCGGUCUUAUAAGUCAGUGCUGAAAUAUCCCGGCUUAACCGGGAGGGUGGCAUUGAUACUGUAGGACUUGAGUAAAGUUGAGGUAGGCGGAAUUGACAGUGUAGCGGUGAAAAUGCAUAGAUAUUGUCAAGAACACCAAUUGCGAAGGCAGCUUACUAAGUUAUAACUGACGCUGAGGCACGAAAGUGCGGGGAUCAAACAGG
rnacentral:rRNA from 1 species